GCAGCAACGCCGCGUGCGGGAUGACGGCCUUCGGGUUGUAAACCGCUUUUAGUAGGGAAGAAGGGCUUCGGCUUGACGGUACCUGCAGAAAAAGGACCGGCUAACUACGUGCCAGCAGCCGCGGUAAUACGUAGGGUCCGAGCGUUGUCCGGAAUUAUUGGGCGUAAAGAGCUCGUAGGCGGUUUGUCGCGUCUGCUGUGAAAUCUGGAGGCUCAACCUCCAGCCUGCAGUGGGUACGGGCAGACUAGAGUGCGGUAGGGGAGAAUGGAAUUCCUGGUGUAGCGGUGGAAUGCGCAGAUAUCAGGAGGAACACCGAUGGCGAAGGCAGUUCUCUGGGCCGUAACUGACGCUGAGGAGCGAAAGCGUGGGGAGCGAACAGGAUUAGAUACCCUGGUAGUCCACGCCGUAAACGUUGGGCGCUAGAUGUGGGGACCUUUCCACGGUUUCCGUGUCGUAGCUAACGCAUUAAGCGCCCCGCCUGGGGAGUACGGCCGCAAGGCUAAAACUCAAAGGAAUUGACGGGGGCCCGCACAAGCGGCGGAGCAUGCGGAUUAAUUCGAUGCAACGCGAAGAACCUUACCAAGGCUUGACAUGACCGAGAACGCCGCAGAAAUGUGGAACUCUUUGGA
rnacentral:rRNA from 1 species